GAAAGGAAAGGAAAGGAAAGGAAAGGAAAGGGGAAAGAGGAAAGGAAGGGAAAGGAAAGGGAAAGAGGAAAGUGCUGCUUGGGAGGUGAUCCCCGUAUUCCCUCCCGGGUCAUCGUAACCCGGUUAGAAAUCAACAGCAGAACAGGGAGGGGGCGGUUGGGGAAGACCACUGUGACCGCAAUACCGGCGGGCUGAGGGAAAGCGGCUCCGGGAGGAGGAGGACCUCUGCCUUCGUCAUAUGGGGAGCGCUGGCAUUUACGUAUGAGCUGGUAGUCACCUGCUUCUAUUGUUGGUUUUCUUUAAGAAAGGGAGGAAAAAAAAGCAACCGGUGGAAAGCGGAGACUCUGAGCUGUCCCUCGGAACGAGGAGGGGCUGUACCCGUAGGGCAGCUCCCCAGUGCCGGCCCUGCUUGCCCCUCUGCUGUCCUCGCAGCCCCUCGCUGGGCUCCGCGUUGGGAAAAUGAGAGGCAUAGGGAAUAAAUGCGGGUGAUACGUUCUGAUUGCAUAACAGAUCUCAAGUUCCGCAUGAAAAAAAAAAAAAAAAAAAAAAAGGAAAAAGGAAAAAUCGGGAAUUGUCGCUUUUCUACCUACAGCUGCAUUCGGUCUAUUGAAGGCUUAAGGGGAGUGAAGUUAGGUGAGCAACUGCUGCCCCUCCGAGCAAUGCGGGCGCACACACUGAUAGGAGUCAUCUGUCUGAAAACCCCUCACAAAUAUGGAAAGAUUUCCCCCAGAGUUUAUGAAAUACGUUCGGUGACCUUGAGCACGCAUUCCUGGGUCUGACAUAUUAGAGAAGAUGAAUAUUCAUUCGGCUAAGUGAUAUUUUCAUACAUGGUGCUCGUUACUAUACAGUCAAUAAACAUUUUGAUAACAUUUUGCAGCAGAACUAAGCGCCCUAUUUGUAUGACAGGCAUUAAGGCACCCGAAUUCAAGAUUUCUGGAGAAAAAUUACCCAGUCCUUUCAGUGUAAUUACGGCAUCUUUAAUUAAAAUACAUGGACUAACGCCACUACUCCACCCCACCUCUUUGCUGCAGUUCACUGUUUCUACAAGCUGGCUUGUCUUAUGCUUCCUCUAUUGCAGUGUUAGCAGACUGGCUUUGAUUUCUGUGGGCUUUCAGAGAGGCAGGAUGAGAGUCCGAAUGGCCAGAGAUUACCACAUGUUCUCCUGUGCCACCAAGUUGGGCAGAACACAGGGGUGGACAAAUAGGGACAGUGGCAUCUUCAAGUAUAAUCACAAUAGAUUUUGCCAGAGGAUAUUUGCUCAAAUCAUCUCCAAGGGAUAAUUCCAUCGUGAUCAAAGGGAAAAAAAAAGAAAUGAAAAAGAUCGUUUUACCUCUCCCGUUCCUUUUUGCCUGUCAUAUCUCCCUGCCCCAUCUCUAUUUCACCACAUUUAUCUUGUAGCUUGAGGUCUCUGCUGGGAAUUCUUUGCCAAUAUAAGAAGUACACCAACAAAAUAGUGCUCAGAUUCACAUCUUUCAACUGCUAAACUUUGCUUUUGCCAGCAUACCGUGUUCCAGCCAUCUCCUUUUUCGUCCAAGAAUAAUAAGCUGUGCUGGGUAAUGGUCAGACAUCAGAACAGACUAUCCAUGAUAGGGGCCUUUGCCUACAGUUACAUCAGCCAUCAAGUGUUGCCUCCUUUCACCCCAAGCUGGCAGAGACACAGCAAGGGAAGAGCAGCCUUUGCUUGUGGAAAGGCUGAAGUUCAGUUUAGAUACAGCAAACAGAGUUUUGCCAGCACAGAGCCUUACUGAUUUCGUGCUGCCACUCUUCAACUAUUUGGAGGUCCUACAUGCCAAAAGAAUGCAUGUGAUCUUUUCAUAUAUUUACAAAUGUACUUAGACUCGUGUUACUGAACUGUAUGGAUGGAUAACAAACAGCGAUCAGCAACGCCGUGAUCUGCAAGCCGUGAACCUCUCAAAUAAGUCUUGCUUGGGAAGACUGCCAAAAUGUUCAGCAUUACCUGCACCUGGUCAGAUAAAAAUAUCACCUCUGGGGACAUGCAACUGUUUUCAGGUGCAUGUGGAAGCUUGAAUCUACAAGCCCAGCACACGCAGGUUCCAUCUUUAAUUUUUUCUCAUGCUGGGGGGGAUUGGAGCUCCAGGUGCUAGGGAUAUGUCGCAGGUAUUGCCCCAAAUCACAGGCAGGUUAUCCAAUGCGAUCAAAGAGGCUGAGUGCAUGAGUCAGCUGGAUUUCAGGAUUUGCCGUGUGCUUCAGAAAUACGGUUUUGUUUGUUCUUAGCCUAAAUCUAAUUUUGAAAUGCUGUUUCAAUCUGAGGAUAAGGAGUAAGAGUUGAAAGGGAUGUGCCUGAUGUUUGGCUUGGCUGUUGCCUUCUACCUGCUGCCAGGAUCACAGAGCUGAUGGUAGUCAAGCCAUGGGAAAAGCACAGAGAAAGAUUAUGUGCGUCAGCAACACUUUCUUGUACUAUCAGGAGUGCACUUAUCUGUUCCAACAAAAUAGAGUGAUUUAUAUUUUGAUGUCCUUGAACUUCCACAUAAACAGGUGAAGUCAGUUUAUUCCCUUGUACAUUUGUUUGCAUACUUGCGAUACAGUGUCAUUCUGGUUAUACAUUUCAUAACCUUACUGUAUGAGGACAUGAACUCUCGGCAGCGUCUUCCUCCCUAACCUUUCUCAGCUCCUUUGAGUGCUAAUGGGCCGUGACAGCUCCUGCCCAGGAGCGUGGUCUGUGGUACUGGGGUGGGGAAUGAGCAUCCAUCCUUCAUAUAGUUUUAGGGACCUGCUUGUUGAUACUGCUUCUUGGCUAGUGUCUGCUGCAGGUGUGUGUUAUGCCUUUGUAGUGAGAGCAGCUCAAAGGGGUAUGAUCUUCUCAUUCCCCAAACUUCCACAAACACAACAAAAGUGAUGUUUGCUCGGACCGGGGAAAUGCACAGGGAAAUCUGGCACACGCUCAGUUCCCAGUUCAUGCUAUCACAGAGUUGGGUAUUUUCCUAUCUAGCUCACAAUUUAUGCUCCCAGUGGGGCGUUCAGAACGCAACACACCGGGACCCGUUGGGAGAGAGCGUUCUGGGGACAGCAGCAGGUCAAGCCCAUGCAGUCUGAGCACAGAGGUGAUGCACUCAGGUACACCAAGACACUGCUGCGGGCACACACCUGCGGAGGCUGUGCAUCCUGGAGCAGGACGGGGUCUCGGGCGCGGUCCCGCUGCCCGGGAGCGCGCAUGCGAAACGGGCUGAGGAGCGCUCCCGCGUCCCUAAGCGUGCUCCCUACGGUGGCGCGCCGGUGCUGCCCCCAUCCGGCGGUGGUUGGAGCCUGUGCUGCUGUUAGACGAGGCAGCACGUAAACAAAUACGUAGCGCUCCUUGGAAACGGUGCCCUUUUACAUUUUCAUUUUUGAAGAGAUUUUGUUCCGUCCUGCUCUGAGCUGUAGGGAUAGCCGAGGUCUAGGGUCUGCCAGGGCCUUUCUCUUCAAAAAAAGAUGCUGAUGUUAGAAUUCAGGAUUUCUUUGAUGCAAUAUUUACAGUGAAAUUUCACCGAGGCCUUUUCACCCAAGCACAACAGGAUUCCAGCAGAAAUUGGGGUACAGAGACGUUGUGAUCACAGGCUGUCAUCUUACUGGGGGUCUUCAACCACAUUGAUAUCUGCUGGAAAAGUUGCACAGUGCACUGUAGGUGAUCCCGGAGACUCCUGGAAUAUAACAAGGAUAACUUCCUCAGCCAGGUAAUGGACAGCCCCAUCAGGGGGAGAAUGCAGUGCUGGACCUGUUGCUCACCAACAUGAGUGAACUGAUUGGUGAUAUCAGGAUUGGAGACUGCCUGGGCUGUAGUGACCACGCAAUUGUGAAGUUCAAAUUCUUGAGUGAUAUCAGGCAGGCAAAGAGUAAAAUCAGGAAGUACUGAUACUCUGAAUUACUCUGUCUGCAUACUACAAAGUGGAGUAAAAUGUGUUUGCUAAGUGGUAGCUUCCAUUGUUUACGCCUUUCAUUGUUUAUGCCUAUCUCUAUGGAGACCUUAAUUUGCUUUUGUCAUCCCAUGAGAAGGCCACCUCUGACCCCAUCCAGAGUAAUGCAAUGGAUCACAUCAGCCAACUUAGUGUCAUUUUUUACCAAAAAAAACCCCCACAAAACUAUCAACUAUUGUCUCCCAUUUUCUUAGAGCAGUUACACUCCUCAGGCCUACAAGUGCCAUCUAUAUAUCCUUCUCCCAAAAUAUGUAGCCUUCAAUUGGCAAUACUAACGUCCAUAUUGUUUCUGCUUAGCCAGAAAUCUGGAUCACUUCCUGCUCAUCAUCUAUCCUCAACAUUUCUCUGUUCCUUUUUGUUGUUUUCAUAAAUUAGAAAUAUUUCUAGAGUUAGUUUUUUAUUUUGUAUUUUGUUUGUUUGUAAUAUAUAUUUCUUUCUCUACAUGCCAUAGGUAAAAUCAUUGGAUACAAUCUUGGACAAGAAGAUGGAUCUGUUUAGCCUUGAGAAAAGAAGGCUGAGAGGAGUCCCGUAUCAGCUGUUCCAUUCUUCUGCACAGAACCAAGAUAGCAAUGGAGCUGUGUCAUCACUGGGAUUGCUUUUGCCCUGAAUAGUCCUUCACAAAUGGAAAAUAAAGCAAAGAAAUGUUC